AAAAAGACAAAUCCUGGUUUUCGUGUCCAACAUUUGACCGUCCGUCUUAUUUGAAAAAAAAUAUGAAAAAAAUUAAAAAGACAAGUCACGCAUAAAAUAUUAAUUAUGUUUUAUCAUCUAACAACAAUGAAAAUACGAAUUAUAAAAAAAUUUCAUAUAAGACGGACAGUCAAAGUUGGACACGGAAACCCAUGGUUUAUUUUUUU
rnacentral:pre_miRNA from 1 species